rnacentral:lncRNA from 1 species
CGUCUUGGGGCCGUUUCAGACAAAGCUCUGCCGUUAACAGCUUCUCUGGUUGCUCUGUCAUCUCCCAUUAGAGGCCUCGGUAACCAGCACUUCAUGAGGCUUUGCAGAAUAAUUUGUAUGUUUAAUACACCUCGAAAGCCCGUGUUGGGCUGCAAUUAAGGCGGGGGGAGGGAGCUGGGAAGAGAAGAGACGCCGACCUCCUGCUGGCUGCACAGAACCUGCUGCUUUCUGCCGAGGCUGCGCCGAUGGAGGAUGCCAGGGAAGCUGGAAUUAGAGGCAAAAGCAUAAUUUGUCAUUUGCAAGUGGGCUGCUUCAGAGGGUGCCAGCUCCUUCCUCAGCAUCCUCGUUUAACUGUGUGGGAAUUCGCCUCGGGCAGAGCUGACGCAGUUGUUUCAGGAGCACAUGGAGUCUUGCAGAGUCCAUCAGGAAACUCAGCAGCAGCUCAGAGAUGGCUCCAGAGCGGCAGAGACAUGAGACCCUUCAAAGCCAAGUGGCCAUUGAGCCUUGCAGAACCACCCCAGCUUUGCCCAGGGCUCCUGCCAGCCCUGGCUCUGGGCACAGGGGACGCUGCUGUCACCUCUGCCAUGGGCUCAUCUGCUCCUGUUAGACUGGCACUCCCAGGCUCAGCCAGCCCUGCCUCCUCCCCCUCAGCAGAUCUCCCCGAGCCCAGGGAGGCUUCGGCAAGGAGCUCCUGCCUUCCCAUCAGAGCCUCCUUCUCCAGCCCUGGAGUCCUCACCAGAUCUUGUCUAGAUGAUUUUUUCCCCUGUGCUCUACUUCUGUCUGUUCCUCACAGUUAAUCUCCCGGGGCUGCCCCUACAAAUCCCCCAAGCUGUGAUUUAUGCCUCCAUGGACAUGGAGAUGGUUAUCCCAUCCUGCCAUGGAUGUUGGCGAGCCCAGCCAGGCAGAUUUAGCUCUUUUAAUCUCUCUUCAUAAGUCAAUCCCUUCAGCCGCUUAAUCAUUUUGUUGUUCUCCUCCAAAUUCCCAACGAGGUGGUUUGUCUUGCAAGCGCCUGAUUCAUGGUCAUAUAUUUCCCAAAACUUCAGCAGCUUAACACAGGAAUAACACUGCAUGGAGCUGGUCACUCCCUGCAGCCCAAAGAGUCAUUAAACUCCUGAGGAA